AGUGCUACAAGAACUAGCAACUGUAACAUUUGUUGCUAGAGAUGUUGAAAAUUCUUCUCCUUCUGAUGCCUGGUGCUGGGGUUGGAGACCUCAUCUCGCAGUGGCCAACAUCAGCAAUCCAGAAACCAGGGGAGGCUGUGACUAUGAACUGUUACCAGAACGGCACAGUCCGCACAAACAUGCUCUGGUACCAGCAACCCCAGGGAGAAGGUCUGAAGUUAAUAGCCAUUACUUAUACUGGGUCACGUCCCUCUUAUGAGAAAGACUUCAAUGAGAGCAAGUUUGUGAUCAGCAGAGAACAACAGAGGCUGUCUGAUAUGACUGUGAAGAAAGUGACAGCCAGGGAUGCAGCCACCUAUUUCUGUGCUGCCAGUGAGCACACACUGCUGUGA